rnacentral:rRNA from 1 species
AGUGGAUGGGGAGCAACCUAGUUGUGCGUGUGUAAAGGUAGUGCCAAGAAAAGCGAUGAUCAUGUUGAAAAUCAAUUCCCGGUACCCGAAACCGACACAGGUGGGCAAGUAGAGAAUACUAAGGGGCGCGAGGUAACUCUCUCCAAGGAACUCGGCAAAAUGACCCCGUAACUUAGGGAGAAGGGGUGCCACCGAGAGGUGGUCGCAGUGAAGAGGCCCAGGCGACUGUUUAGCAAAAACAUAGGUCUCUGCAAACUCGAAAGAGGAGGUAUAGGGGCUGACGCCUGCCCAGUGCCGGAAGGUUAAAGAAGUUGGUCAGUUUUAGGAUGAAGCUAGCGACUGAAGCCCCGGUGAACGGCGGCCGUAACUAUAACGGUCCUAAGGUAGCGAAAUUCCUUGUCGGGUAAGUUCCGACCCGCACGAAAGGCGUAACGAUCUGGGCGCUGUCUCGGAGAGAGGCUCGGCGAAAUAGGAUUGUCUGUGAAGAUACGGACUACCUGCAUUUGGACAGAAAGACCCUAUGAAGCUUUACUAUAGCUUGGAAUUGUGUUCGGGCUUCCUGUGCGCAGGAUAGGUGGGAGGCGUAGAAGGUAUUCUUGUGGGGAUACUGGAGCCAACGGUGAGAUACCACUCUCAGGAGGCUAGAAUUCUAACUUAAUUAAGGACAGUUUCAGGUGGGUAGUUUGACUGGGGCGGUCGCCUCCAAAAAGGUAACGGAGGCGUACAAAGGUUCCCUCAGACUGGUUGGAAAUCAGUCGAAGAGUGCAAAGGCAGAAGGGAGCUUGACUGCGAGAAGUACAGUUCGAGCAGGGUGGAAACACGGUCUUAGUGAUCCGACGGUGCUGUGUGGAAGGGCCGUCGCUCAACGGAUAAAAGUUACUCUAGGAUAACAGGCUGAUCUCCCCCAAGAGUUCACAUCGACGGGGAGGUUUGGCACCUCGAUGUCGGCUCAUUGCAACCUGGGGCGGAAGUACGUCCCAAGGGUUGGGCUGUUCGCCCAUUAAAGCGGUACGUGAGCUGGGUUCAGAACGUCGUGAGACAGUUCGGUCCAUAUCCGAUGUAGGCGUGAGAAUAUUGAGAGGAGCCUUCCUUAGUACGAGAGGACCGGGAAGGACGCACCGCUGGUGUACCUGUUAUGAUGCCAAUUGUAAACGCAGGGUAGCCAAGUGCGGAGAGGAUAACCGCUGAAAGCAUCUAAGUGGGAAGCCCACCUCAAGAUGAGUAUUCUGGUGUAAGGUCACGGGAAGACGACCCGUAAAUAGGCACGAGGUGGAAGUGCAGAGAUGUAUGAAGCCGAAGUGUACUAAUAGACCGUCGGCUUGACC